rnacentral:misc_RNA from 1 species
AACCUAGCACACCUGCGGUGUGUACCUGCGGAGGGAUCAUUAUUGAAUAAACCUGAUGUGGUUGUUGCUGGCUCUCUCGGGAGCAUGUGCACGCCCGUCAUCUUUAUAUCUCCACCUGUGCACCUUUUGUAGACCUGGGGAUUGAGCAAUCAAUCGUUGGGCCUACGUUUAUCAUAUACCCCAUAGUAUGUAUUAGAAUGUCUCAAUGGGCUUCGUGCCUAUAAACACUAUACAACUUUU